UACGUAGGGGGCAAGCGUUAUCCGGAUUUACUGGGUGUAAAGGGAGCGUAGACGGCAGAGCAAGUCUGAAGUGAAAGCCCGCGGCCCUACUGCGGGACUGCUUUGGAAACUGCCCGGCUAGAGUGCUGGAGAGGUAAGCGGAAUUCCUAGUGUAGCGGUGAAAUGCGCAGAUAUUAGGAGGAACACCAGUGGCGAAGGCGGCCAACUGGGCUUUAACUGACGCUGAGGCUCGAAAGUGUGGGGAGCAAACAGG
rnacentral:rRNA from 1 species